GGAGCCAUCCUUGAAAUACCACCCUGUCGUGCUUGACGUUCUAACCUGGGCCCAUUAUCUGGGUCGGGGACCGUGUAUGGUGGGUAGUUUGACUGGGGCGGUCUCCUCCUAAAGAGUAACGGAGGAGCUCGAAGGUACGCUCAGCGCGGUCGGACAUCGCGCACUGUGUGCAAAGGCAUAAGCGUGCUUGACUGCAAGAUCGACGGAUCAAGCAGGUAGGAAACUAGGACUUAGUGAUCCGGUGGUUCUGUAUGGAAGGGCCAUCGCUCAACGGAUAAAAGGUACUCCGGGGAUAACAGGCUGAUACCGCCCAAGAGUUCAUAUCGACGGCGGUGUUUGGCACCUCGAUGUCGGCUCAUCACAUCCUGGGGCUGUAGUCGGUCCCAAGGGUAUGGCUGUUCGCCAUUUAAAGUGGUACGCGAGCUGGGUUCAGAACGUCGUGAGACAGUUCGGUCCCUAUCUGCCAUGGGCGUUGGAGAUUUGAGAGGGGCUGCUCCUAGUACGAGAGGACCGGAGUGGACGAACCUCUGGUGUUCCGGUUGUCACGCCAGUGGCAUUGCCGGGUAGCUAUGUUCGGAAGCGAUAACCGCUGAAAGCAUCUAAGCGGGAAGCGCGCCUCAAGAUGAGAUCUCCCGGGGCACAAGCCCCCUGAAGGAACCAUGUAGACUACGUGGUUGAUAGGUCAGGUGUGUAAGUACAGCAAUGUAUUGAGCUAACUGAUACUAAUGAUCCGUGCGGCUUGACCAUAUAACCUCA
rnacentral:rRNA from 1 species